GAUGAACGCUGGCGGCGUGCCUAAUGCAUGCAAGUCGAGCGAACAGACGAGGAGCUUGCUCCUUCGACGUUAGCGGCGGACGGGUGAGUAACACGUAGGUAACCUACCUAUAAGACUGGGAUAACUUCGGGAAACCGGAGCUAACACCGGAUAAUAUUUCGAACCGCAUGGUUCGAUAGUGAAAGAUGGCUUUGCUAUCACUUAUAGAUGGACCUGCGCCGUAUUAGCUAGUUGGUAAGGUAACGGCUUACCAAGGCAACGAUACGUAGCCGACCUGAGAGGGUGAUCGGCCACACUGGAACUGAGACACGGUCCAGACUCCUACGGGAGGCAGCAGUAGGGAAUCUUCCGCAAUGGGCGAAAGCCUGACGGAGCAACGCCGCGUGAGUGAUGAAGGUCUUCGGAUCGUAAAACUCUGUUAUUAGGGAAGAACAAACGUGUAAGUAACUGUGCACGUCUUGACGGUACCUAAUCAGAAAGCCACGGCUAACUACGUG
rnacentral:rRNA from 1 species